AACUGCGAGUGAAGCGGGAAAAGCUCAAAUUUAAAAUCUGGCAGCUUUGCUGUCCGAGUUGUAAUCUGGAGAAGCGUUUUCCGCGCCGGACCGUGUACAAGUUUCUUGGAACAGAACGUCAUAGAGGGUGAGAAUCCCGUCCAUGGCACGGACUCCCGGUGCUUUGUGAUACGCUCUCGAAGAGUCGAGUUGUUUGGGAAUGCAGCUCAAAAUGGGUGGUAAGCUCCAUCUAAAGCUAAAUAUUGGCGAGAGACCGAUAGCGAACAAGUACCGUGAGGGAAAGAUGAAAAGCACUUUGGAAAGAGAGUUAAACAGUACGUGAAAUUGUUGAAAGGGAAACGCUUGAAGUCAGUCGCGUCUUAUGUGACUCAGCCUUGCCUCGGCUUGGUGUAUUUCAUGUAAGACGGGUCAACAUCGAUUUUGACCGGUGGACAAAGGGAGAGGGAAUGUGGCACUCUUCGGAGUGUGUUAUAGCUCUUUCUCAUAUACAUCGGUGGGGAUCGAGGUUCGCAGCGCGCCCUUGUGGCCGGGGGUUCGCCCUACGUAUCGCGCUUAGGAUGUUGGCAUAAUGGCUUUAAGCGACCCGUCUUGAAACACGGACCAAGGAGUCUAACAUGCUCGCAAGUGUUAGGGUGGAAAACCCUUGCGCGGAAUGAAAGUGAAAGUUGAGAGCCUCCGCAAGGGGGUGCAUCGACGCCCGGCCCUGAAGUUUACUGACGGUGCCGCGGUAGAGCGCGUAUGUUGGGACCCGAAAGAUGGUGAACUAUGCCUGAAUAGGGCGAAGCCAGAGGAAACUCUGGUGGAGGCUCGUAGCGAUUCUGACGUGCAAAUCGAUCGUCAAA
rnacentral:rRNA from 1 species